rnacentral:rRNA from 1 species
CAGCCAGCGUAAGCUUAGGGGCUAGCUUGCGGAUCAUGGCGUAAGAGCUCGUAGCGUCGUAGUCGGGUGGAAGCCCUCAUCACGAGAAUGCAUCGAUACUGCAGCUAGAGUCAGCAGAGGAGUGAUCCCGUGUAGCGUGAAUGCGCAGAUAUCGGGAGACACCGGUGGCGAAGGCGGCUCUGGGCUGUACUGACGCUGAGGAGCGAAAGCUAGGGGAGCGAACAGGAUUAGAUACCUGGUAGUCCUAGCCGUAAACGAUGGGCACUAGGUGUGGGGGGUUACCAAAUCCCUCCGUGCCGAAGCUAACGCAUUAAGUGCCCCGCCUGGGGAGUACGGCCGCAAGGCUAAAACUCAAAGGAAUUGACGGGGGCCCGCACAAGCGGCGGAGCAUGUGGCUUAAUUCGACGCAACGCGAAGAACCUUACCAGGGUUUGACAUGCUCGCGAAAACCGUGGAAACACGGUCCUCCUUCGGGACGCGUGCACAGGUGGUGCAUGGCUGUCGUCAGCUCGUGUCGUGAGAUGUUGGGUUAAGUCCCGCAACGAGCGCAACCCUUAUCGCAUGUUGCCAGCGGGUUAUGCCGGGAACUCAUGCGAGACUGUCGGUGUCAAACCGGAGGAAGGUGGGGAUGACGUCAAGUCAUCAUGCCCCUUAUGCCCUGGGCUGCACACGUGCUACAAUGGCCGGUACAGAGGGCUGCGAUACCGCGAGGUGGAGCGAAUCCCAAAAAGCCGGUCUAAGUUCGGAUUGGAGGCUGCAACUCGCCUUCAUGAAGUCGGAGUCGCUAGUAAUCGCGAAUCAGCAAUGUCGCGGUGAAUACGUUCCCGGGCCUUGUACACACCGCCCGU